GCCCCCAUGGUGUAGCGGUCAGCACGCGGGCCUUUCACGCCCGUAGCGGGGGUUCGAUUCCCCCUGGGGGUAC
rnacentral:tRNA from 1 species